rnacentral:tRNA from 1 species
GUUCUGGUAGCUUAAACAGCCUAAAGCCCUGGUUUUGUAAGCCAAAGACGAGAUAACUAACUCUCCCAGAACA